ACGAACGCUGGCGGCGUGCUUAACACAUGCAAGUCGAACGGAAAGGCCCUUCGGGGUACUCGAGUGGCGAACGGGUGAGUAACACGUGGGUGAUCUGCCCUGCACUUUGGGAUAAGCCUGGGAAACUGGGUCUAAUACCGAAUACACCUCUGGGGUUGCAUGACUUUGGGGGGAAAGCUUUUGCGGUGUGGGAUGGGCCCGCGGCCUAUCAGCUUGUUGGUGAGGUUAUGGCUCACCAAGGCGACGACGGGUAGCCGGCCUGAGAGGGUGUCCGGCCACACUGGGACUGAGAUACGGCCCAGACUCCUACGGGAGGCAGCAGUGGGGAAUAUUGCACAAUGGGCGCAAGCCUGAUGCAGCGACGCCGCGUGAGGGAUGACGGCCUUCGGGUUGUAAACCUCUUUCGCCAGGGACGAAGCGCAAGUGACGGUACCUGGAGAAGAAGCACCGGCCAACUACGU
rnacentral:rRNA from 1 species